UACGGGAGGCAGCAGGGAUGAAUAUUGCACAAUGGGCGCAAGCCUGAUGCAGCCAUGCCGCGUGUAUGAAGAAGGCCUUCGGGUUGUAAAGUACUUUCAGUCGUGAGGAAGGUGUUAAGGUUAAUAACCUUAGCAAUUGACGUUAGCGACAGAAGAAGCACCGGCUAACUCCGUGCCAGCAGCCGCGGUAAUACGGAGGGUGCGAGCGUUAAUCGGAAUUACUGGGCGUAAAGGGCACGCAGGCGGUUAAUUAAGUUGGAUGUGAAAUCCCCGGGCUUAACCUGGGAAUGGCAUUCAAGACUGGUUAGCUAGAGUCUUGUAGAGGGGGUAGAAUUCCAUGUGUAGCGGUGAAAUGCGUAGAGAUGUGGAGGAAUACCGGUGGCGAAGGCGGCCCCUGGACAAGACUGACGCUCAUGUGCGAAAGCGUGGGGAGCAAACAGGAUUAGAUACC
rnacentral:rRNA from 1 species